AGAUGAGGAUAUUCCUGCAGGAGGGGACAAGAACGAUACCAAAGCUGUCCAAGUCGAGGAAAAGUUCCAGACUGAGAAUUCCCAUCUGAAACGUCUGGAACUGGAGAUAGACCAGAUGAAGAAAAAACUUAGUCAAAUGGAAGAAGAAGGGUAUGGGGAUAAAGAUCAUAUUGUUCCCCCAAAGACAGACAAUCUGGAGUUCUUGCUGAAGAAAGAG